AGUCCGCCUUCUCAGCCCAAGAAGCGUAAUGGAAUUUUCGUUAUCAUUUGUUCGAGACCAGUUAGAACUUAGCAUCCAGGUAUUUACAGCCUGGCCGGCCAAUUGCCUUUGAAUUUGUAAUGGCCGCUCUCGAACCACCACUCUGCACCCGAUAAUAGUUCCGGGAAACGGUUCCGCGUAUGCAUAUCGAAUUGUUUCCUCUCCUUGAGGACGGAAGGCAGAAUUUUGCCACAAGUUUCCAAUUAUCCCGGAUAAUAUUUGAAAUUAUUCCAUGAUGAAAUUAGUCGUUUGAGAAAAUGAUUUUAUGAAUUUUCCUAAAAAAUUUGUGACAAUUUUUUUGGAUUGUUAGAAAUGACAGAUUGGAGAGAGAGAUCGAAGAGAGUAAUAAUCGCUCGAAACAAAUAGUUUUGGAUAGUGCGUUAAUUAAUAAGUAAAAGAAGACGAAUAAAAGAAAAAAGGAAAAGAGGACAAAUAUCAAUAAUGGUCCCUGCUAAUAACACCGUCGUGUAACCACAAUUCACGAUCGAAGGAGAUGGGAGCAUGGGUAAAAGGGAACGUCGAUGAAACGAUAAUUUCUAACGGAGUUUGGAGAAACAAAGGGAAAUUGGGUCAACACGUUGACGAAAGGAAAAUAUUAAAAUAUUAAUCGAGAAUACGCGCGGAAGGAUAAUUUCCAAUUUGCUGCGGUCCCGAAACCACGAGCAAGGAUGUUAGAACGAAGUAGGGGGGAGCCUCCAGUGAUCCUGGACCGGAGAAGGUAUAUUUUCUUCCGGAUAAAGGCAUCGUGCACUGUCGCCGUCGGUGACGAACCAUCAACGAUCUGAGUUAAGCGUCCUUCGAAGAAUUAAGAAGGGAGAAGAAUUUGGAAUAAGUUUUUUCGAAGAUUUUUGACUUUUUUUUGUAAUAUUCAUGUAAUUUGUGAUAUACAAUAAAGAAAAUUAAAAAAGGAA